UGUCAGGGGAGAGUGGUCUGGGGUUAGUAGUAGACUGUCAGGGGAGAGUGGUCUGGGGUUAGUAGUAGACUGUCAGGGGAGAAUGGUCUGAGGUUAGUAGUAGACUGUCAGGGGAGAGUGGUCUGGGGUUAGCAGUAGACUGUCGGGGAGAGUGGUCUGGGGUUAGUAGUAGACUGUCAGGGGAGAGUGGCAUGGGGUUAGUAGUAGACUGUCAUGGGAGAGUGGUCUGGGGUUAGUAGGAGACUGUCAGGGGAGAGUGGUCUGAGGUUAGUAGUAGACUGUC
rnacentral:lncRNA from 1 species